CCUAGUUGAUCCUGCCAGUAGUCAUAUGAUUGUCUCAAAGAUUAAACCAUGCAUGUGUAAGUAUGAAUUAUUUCAGACUAUGAAACUGUGAAUGAGUCAUUAAAUCAGUUACAGUUUAUUUGAUGGUACGUGCCACUCGAAUAACCGUAGCAAUUCUAGAGCUAAUACGUGCACCAAACCCCCGACUUCUGAAAGGGAUGCAUUUAUUAGGUAAAAGUUCGAUGCGGGCUUUUGCCCGUUUCCCUGAUGAUUCAUGAUAACUUGUCGGAUCGCAUGGCCCUUGUGCCGGUGACGCGUCAUUUGAAUAUCUACCCUAUCAACUUUUGAUGCUAGUAUAAGGGCCUAUCAUGGUGGUGACAAGUGAUGGAGAAUCAGGGUUCGAUUCUAGAGAGGGAGCCAGAGAGACGACAACCACAUCCAAGGAAGGUAGCAGGCACGCAAAUUACCCAAUCCUGACACGGGGAGGUAGUGACACUAAAUAACAAUGCCGGGCUCUUUGAAAUUGGUAAUUGGAGUGAGUACAAUCUAAACCUCUUAACAAAAAUCCAUUGGAGGGCAAGUCUGGUGUCAGUAGUCGCGAUAAUUCCAGCUCAAAUAGCGUAUAUUUAAGUUGUUGCAGUUAAAAAGCUUGUAGUUGGACCUUCAGUUAGGUCGGUCGGUCUGCCUCAUGGUGUGCACCACCCGUCUCAUCCCUUAUGCCGGUGAUGAGUUUCUGACCUUAAUUGGCUAGGUCGUGCCUUCAGCACCGUUACUUUGAAGAAAUUAGAGUGCUCAAAGUAAGCCCACACUCUAGAUACAUUAGCAUGUGAUAACACCACAGGAUUUCGGUCCUAUUGUGUUGGCCUUCGAGAUCGGAGUAAUGAUUAAGAGGGAUGGUCGGGGGCAUUCAUAUUUCAUAGUCAGAGGUGAAAUUCCUGAAUUUAUGAAAGACGAACCACUGUGAAAGCAUUUGCCAAGGAUGUUUUCAUUAAUCAAGAAUGAAAGUUGGGGGCUUGAAGACGAUCAGAUACCGUCCUCGUCUCAACCAUAAACGAUGCCGACCAGGGAUUGACAGAUGUUGCUUUUAGGACUCCGUCGGCACCUUGUGAGAAAUAAAAGUUUUAGGGUUCCAGUGGGAGUAUGGUCGCAAGGCUGAAACUUAGAGGAAUUGACGGAAGGGCACCACCAGGAGUGGAGCCCGCGGCUUAAUUUGACUCAACACAGGAAAUCUUACUAGGUCCAGACAUAGUAAGGAUUGACAGACUGAGAGCUACAGGGAGAUUGGACCAAACCAUAGGGCAAAAAAUGGAAUAAAGCAGAGUUGGGAUGUGUUUUUACCUCUCCAAAGCUCCAAUAUAGAGUAGACAAUCAUGAUAGAAGGGUGAUUUUGAAAUUUAUAAUUUGCUGCUGAAGCUAAGAAAAGGAGUUUCUCCCAUACCAACCUUCACAUUUUAACGCCCAAACAAACAAUGUUAAUAACUGACCACUCAAUUGGUACGUAUUUACAAAACUAACACUUAUAUUUCAGUUCUUACAUAUUUACCACUUAUAGUUGAAAAAAGAGUCUCGUUUUUCAAUGUUUAAAUCUUUUUAGAAUUUAAAAUGAUGAUAUUUUUAUGUUAUAUGAAAUAUAUGAAUGAUAUAAA
rnacentral:rRNA from 1 species